AUAGAAAAUAGCAAUAAACCUAAGCGAGGUCUCUUAAUCAAGGACCAGAAGACACGUCUCUUGUGAUUCCUCUUCCUCCCUCUUCACCUUCUCCAGAACUUCUUCCCACUUCUCUGCCUCCACUUCUCCCUCAUCGAUUCCGACAUGGCUUGGUCGUUGUCCUCCAUGUUCCUCUUCUCGUUCCUCGUUUUCAAUCGGGUCGAGGGCAAGCAAGUUUUAGAAGACGGGUACGAGGUUACUACAGUGGUCGACGGUCAUAAGUCUGGUUUGAAUCCACACACGGUUUUACGGCGAGUCCCUCGAUUCCUCUGUCUCACCCGUUCUCAUUCCCGGCGUCCAUGUCUUCCAUUGCCAGGUUCCCAUAUCAAAAAAGCCUCAUAGAUGCUCAUAGGGAUACUGUUUUCCACCAUUCCCGGUUUAAUGAUGAGUUUAGAUCUGAAGAAGAAUCUGAUGAAAAAGAUGAUGAUGGAAGCCUUCAAAACCUCGUGAUUGGGAAGCCCUAUUUGGUGAAGGGAACAAUGAUGAUACCUUUGUGCUAGGCAUUAAGCAUACAAGGAAGAGCAUUAGGCUGUAUAAUGAUUUCAUUACCUCGGACAUGAUUAUUGCUUCCCCUCUCGGGUUACAGUUGGCCUUGGGAAAAGAAGAAGACAAGAAGAGACUGAGCAAAGAAAAAGACAACAAGAAAGUGGUUCUUGAUUACCUGUCCUCCAUCGAGGUACUUUUGUUUACCAUUGCUAAGAAGAUCAUAUAUAUUGGAAGUUGUAUUCUUCAUCUUCUCUCCGUUACAACCUCCUCGGUGGACUUGCUGUUCGCCGUGGUCGUGAAAAGAGUAGUACCAUAGCUUCUGUUUCUUGUUCUUGUUUGUUGUUACUACUACCAAUCUGAUUAUUCAGAAUAAAUCACAAGAGAAACAGGAAGAAGGUAUACGUUCUGCUUCUCAUCAACUCUUGUGUUCUUUUUUUCUUUGACAGGCCCUGAUUCUCAUCAACUCUUGUGCUCGCACUCUUUAUGUUUAUGUCCGUGAGCAGCAAGUUAUUACCUUUCAUGUCAACUGCUGAAUUGAUGAAAAAAGUUAUAAACAAGUACGCGCAAGACUUGUCACUGCCUCACCAUGCCAACAAGCAGUGCAGGUCCGUGUGCCAUUGGGUCUGACCUGUGGUCUUGUUUUCUUCUUGUUGUCUUGUUUUCUUGUAUCACGGACCUAGAGAUUGGUUAGUACAUGUAUAUUGUAUUGUUGUGGUCACGUUGAAAGUGUUUCACGGACAAGAAAUGAAAGGCCUUUGUAAUGAUUGUAUGAUUGUGUAUUCACAAACUUGUAUAAAUAAUAUCUUGUAAUUGUAA